rnacentral:rRNA from 1 species
AUCGAACGCUGGCGGCAGGCCUAACACAUGCAAGUCGAACGGGUGGCGGACGGGUGAGUAAUGUCUGGGACACUGCCCGAUGGAGGGGGAUAACUACGGGAAACGGUAGCUAAUACCGCAUACCAUCAGAUGUGCCCAGAUGGGCGUAGCUUGUUGGUGGGGUAACGGCUCACCAAGGCGACGAUCACUAGCUGGUCUGAGAGGAUGACCAGCCACACUGGAACUGAGACACGGUCCAGACUCCUGCGGGAGGCAGCAGUGGGGAAUAUUGCACAAUGGGCGCAAGCCUGAUGCAGCCAUGCUGCGUGUAUGAAGAAGGCCUUCGGGUUGUAAAGUACUUUCAGCGGGGAGGCGUUACCCGCAGAAGAAGCACCGGCUAACUCCGUGCCAGCCGCCGCGGUAAUAC